UACGUAGGGUGCGAGCGUUAAUCGGAAUUACUGGGCGUAAAGCGUGCGCAGGCGGUUUGUAAGUCUGACGUGAAAUCCCCGGGCUUAACCUGGGAAUUGCGUGGAGACUGCAAGGCUGAGAUGCUGGCAGAGGGGGUAGAAUUCCACGUGUAGCAGUGAAAUGCGUAGAUAUGUGGAGGAACACCGAUGGCGAAGGCAGCCCCCUGGGAUAACACUGACGCUCAUGCACGAAAGGCGUGGGGAGCAAACAGG
rnacentral:rRNA from 1 species